AGGAAAUACGCCUGUAGUUGUUACUGAUGCAGCUCGCUCCAGAGGCAAUGCUGUUUACUGGAACAAUGGCUCAACGUUAUUCUCCACAUGUAGAGUAAACUUUUUGAUAAAAAUAGUACCGAUAGAGCUAUCUGGAUGGCCAAGAAAAUCUUUUCAAUUUAGUUCAGAAUUCAUAUAGGUUGGGCCACUCAUAGAUGCUAUUUUGCGUGAUAAAAGCCCUCCUUCAACCAUCAGUAGUACUGAUUUCUUAGUUUCAGGUGUAUGCCAUACUUCUACAUUAGUUAUGCUGAAUGUGAGGAAAUACUCUCAAGAUGGUACCGAGAAUUAAUUGUAUUAGAAGUUCAAGGACACGGUGUUGACAUGUUCGACCAAAGUGAUCGUGGUUCAGCGGUUCAACAGAUACCUGGAGCUUUCAACAAGAGUAUAUUGGAAUUUUGAAUCUGAAGAAUGUUAUUUCUUGUUCGAAGUUGAUCACGGCGCAACAAAUAAUAUCUGGAGUCUUAAGCGAGUACAGUUUGGAAUUGGGAUCCUCUGAAACCAAAUUAGGGACAGAGAUCCAACAGAUUUCAUCUAUAAUUUGUAAAGCUUGAAAUACGCGACCAAGAUCAAGUGCUUCAUCUGUAGUAUCAGAAGAAUUGUUGAAACAUAAAAAAAACAUCUGCACGGUAAAUUGAAACCGUAAGAAAUGCUUAUUUCUCCAUAUUCCACACAUGUUGCUUCUAAGCCACGAGAGUAUCGGAAUUACAUAGAUAUCAAAUACCUAGACUGGGAUAAAGAACCAUGGCGAUCGCUUCUUGUACAGUUUUUUCAACAAAUGAAUGGAAAGAACAAAUGCGAGUCGGAAUGAUUUUUUUGGAGUCAGAUAGAACGUUAUAUAAAGGAGUCAAAAUAUUAGACAAUCGACGCAACGGCAGUGCAUUGUGCAAAGAACACAUUUGACGCCAUCUAUUGGGAAAAUGGCAUAACGGCACUCCCCAUCUGCCAAGUGAAUGCCCUCUCGGCUCCAGUCACAAAUUCUCUAUAUAUCGAAGAGAUAUGAAUGGCCAGGAGGAUGGUAAAUUGAAAAAACAUGACGCCCACUGUCGGUAGUAAAAUGCCUUUGUUCCAUAAACACGUCAUCAAUAGAUACUAAUUUUACUUGAUGUGGAGAAGAUACUCCAUUUAUGACAUCGAAGUAUUCAAGAACAUGAUAUUAACACGAUUUGACCGAAGUGAUAAUAGCACAGCAGAUAACAUCCGGAACCUUCAUGAAGCGCUCAUUGGAAGUUGGAGCCUUUGCUAUGAAAUUAUGGACGGAGAUCCAUCGUAUGAAGUUGAAUUUGUAAUUAUAAAUAUUGGAACAAACUCAAAAUGCAUAUUUAGUACCAAAUCAAUUAUCGAUAUAUAACCAGUCUGCAAACUGAUGUAAUCUUUAAAUGUGUUUCAUUUUUAGUCAAAUCAAAAUUAUUUAAGGAUGUCAAUACAGUGCGGAUGGAAUGGCAAAGAACUAAUUUUUUUGAAAUAAAAAACUAAAAUCAUUUAAUUUGCAUGGUGCAUGUUCUCGUCUUUUGUAAGUGCCGAAUGCACCUUUAUGCUGAUGGAUGAUUUAUGAUUACUUUUCAUCACUGAUUGUUGUAACAAGAUUCAAAAAUUUGAGUAUUUCAAUUGUGAAACGAUUAUAAUUUCUUCACAUCCUAAUUAUGUUGUCUACUUUACAAUUUAUCUACAAAUUCUACGAAAAUUGUCCUUGGUUUCCAUUUUUCACUGAAUAUAAAUGCUCAUAAAAGCGCUUUUAUUAUCUUACUAUUUUUAGAAUUUCAAUUACGAUACAAGAAUUCACUAUAUUAAUUCUAAUGGCUAUGUGCGCGUAAUUCAAAUAUCAAAGAAUUUUGCAUUUCAUAAGAAAAUUUCACCUUUCACUCUAUUCAUCUU